rnacentral:rRNA from 1 species
GACGAACGCUGGCGGCGUGCUUAACACAUGCAAGUCGAACGGUGAACUCCGCUUGCGGGGGGAUCAGUGGCGAACGGGUGAGUAACACGUGGGCAACCUGCCCUCAGCUCUGGGAUAACUCCAAGAAAUUGGGGCUAAUACCGGAUAUGACCGCUGACCGCAUGGUCUGGUGGUGGAAAGAUUUAUCGGCUGGGGAUGGGCCCGCGGCCUAUCAGCUUGUUGGUGGGGUAGUGGCCUACCAAGGCGACGACGGGUAGCCGGCCUGAGAGGGUGACCGGCCACACUGGGACUGAGAAACGGCCCAGACUCCUACGGGAGGCAGCAGUGGGGAAUAUUGCGCAAUGGGCGAAAGCCUGACGCAGCGACGCCGCGUGGGGGAUGACGGCCUUCGGGUUGUAAACCUCUUGCAGCAGGGACGAAGCGAAAGUGACGGUACCUGCAGAAGAAGCACCGGCCAACUACGUG